rnacentral:rRNA from 1 species
AGUGAACGCUGGCGGUAGGCCUAACACAUGCAAGUCGAACGGCAGCACAGUAAGAGCUUGCUCUUACGGGUGGCGAGUGGCGGACGGGUGAGGAAUACAUCGGAAUCUACUUUUUCGUGGGGGAUAACGUAGGGAAACUUACGCUAAUACCGCAUACGACCUACGGGUGAAAGCAGGGGAUCUUCGGACCUUGCGCGAUUGAAUGAGCCGAUGUCGGAUUAGCUAGUUGGCGGGGUAAAGGCCCACCAAGGCGACGAUCCGUAGCUGGACUGAGGGGAUGAUCAGCCACACUGGAACUGAGACCCGGUCCAGACUCCUACGGGAGGCAGCAGUGGGGAAUAUUGGACAAAGGGCGCAAGCCUGAUCCAGCCAUACCGCGUGGGUGAAGAAGGCCUUCGGGCUGUAAAGCCCUUUUGUUGGGAAAGAAAAGCAGCAGGUUAAUACCCCGCUGUUCUGACGGUACCCAAAGAAUAAGCACCGGCUAACUUCGUG